GUAAGGAGGGAGCUGCCGAAGGUGGAGCCAAUGACUGGGGUGAAGUCGUAACAAGGUAGCCGUAUCGGAAGGUGCGGCUGGAUCACCUCCUUU
rnacentral:rRNA from 1 species